rnacentral:tRNA from 1 species
GCAGUAGCUCAGUGGCAGAGCAUCUGCUUUGCAUGCUGAAGGUCCCAGGUUCAAUCCCUGGCAUCUCCA